rnacentral:lncRNA from 1 species
AUGGACGAGACUUGAGUCCACAGUGUAGGGACACUAAAGUGAUAGUGCAGGUGCUUGUUAGAGAACAAGGGUACUAAGCGUGACCAAGACAACAAGUCACUUGGAUGUCUAUCCACUCGUCAGUGACUUGCUUGAUGUUGCAGUAGUAUGACUGGUCCUUUGACCUGCGGUGCUUCAGCUACUCACAGUGAGGUUAUUGUAGUUUGACUACACGUAUACAUGGUCACUAGUCAUAUGGGUCCUUGUA